rnacentral:rRNA from 1 species
UACAGAGGUCUCAAGCGUUGUUCGGAUUUAUUGGGCGUAAAGGGCGCGUAGGCGGCGGGGUAAGUCGGGUGUGAAAUCUCAGGGCUCAACCCUGAAACUGCACUUGAUACUGCUCUGCUUGAGGACUGGAGAGGAGACUGGAAUUCACGGUGUAGCAGUGAAAUGCGUAGAUAUCGUGAGGAAGACCAGUGGCUAAGGCGGGUCUCUGGACAGUUCCUGACGCUGAGGCGCGAAGGCCAGGGGAGCAAACGGG